GGGCAGAAUAGUCUGGGAUUCGAUAUGCCUUCAUACCGUCUUCAAGUUUUUUUCCUUUUUUAAUUUUUUUUUUAUGAGAUAUCAUCUUCGAGUUGGAAAUGUGAAAUUACUGUGUUUUUGAGUUAAAAUAAAAAACGAGUUCUGGUAGCGAUGAGUUGUUCAGUUGCAAGACUUACUGCAUAUGACUAUAGGUAUUAAGUUACUUGUGGACCUGUGGUCAUGUUGUGAAUUACGAAUCAAGUAUAGAUCUGAUAUGCAGUUUCUAGUUCAGCUUGUUUCUUCGAUACUGCUACAAAAUAAGUACACUUACAAGAUCUCGGAUUUCACUUAUUGAAGAAACACAUAUUGAAAAGAGAAUACUAUCAAACACAACAACAGAUUUUUGAGUUUCUCGUCACUCCAUAUUUGUCGUUUAACACACUACAUGCAAGAUCCUUUUUGUGAAUAAUUUAUAUGUUCUGUUUGCAGGAGAACAUGGUUGCGAAGGUUAUCAAGCGGUGACAUGGUUUUGGGAUUGGUUGUAGCUAAUGUUGCUAUUUUUCCUUUAUGGAGGAUAGCAGACCCUAUAUUCAUGUACAAGAAUUUUACUCUGCUUGAUUAUGUGUACCCAUUGGCUUUUCAUAAGUGACUUAAGUAACUAGUGCACAACUCAAGGAAACAAUGUGUUGACGGACAGAACUCUUUAUAGGUGCUUAGUAUUCUUGUCUCAUAAUAUUCCAUUUCUUACUUCAUUUUCCUAACUUCUUGAUUUUCUCUAAGCAGAUCUCAUUAAACAAUUUUACAAGUGGACGUCUUCACACAUUGAUAACUUCUACAUUUAGUCAUGUUGAUAUUGGGCAUAUCAUUUCUAACAUGAUUGGACUGUAUUUUUUUGGGAUCAAUAUUGGAUUUCACUUUUGGGCCUGAGUUUUUGCUGAAGUUGUAUCUAGCUGGAGCUAUUGGUGGCUCAAUCUUUUACUUGGUGCACCAUACCUUCCUUGCUGCAUC